ensembl:lncRNA
GCUGAUCCCAGCCUGGACUCUGAGCCCCGGGAGAUGUCUGGGCCGUGGCCCGUAGCUGGGGUCUUGGCCUCUGCCCGGGGUGGGGGAGUUCAGGGAAGCCACCCCCUCAGAGCGUCCCACUGGGCUGUCAGGAAGGAAGCGUGUUGUCAGGACAGCAAAGCCAGAAGGGCGCUCAGCGGGGUUAGGGGGUUGGGGGGGGUCUCCCCAGCUGUGCGGACUCAGCGCAAGUUCAUCCAGGGUGCCUCUCGUGAGGGAGGGAGCCAGCGUCGCGUUGCGGGCCCAGUGAAGCACCGGCUCGUCCCACUCCCAUUUGCUCUCUGCCCUUGUCUGCUUCCAUCCUCCCAAUAUACCAGCACCGGCCUCAUCUUCAUGAAGGUGAUGAUGAUGAUGAAGAGGGACAGGAGGAGCAGGAGGAGGAGAAGGAGCAGAAGGAGCAGGAGGAGGAGGAGCAGAAGCAGGAGGAGGAGCAGGAGGAGGAGGAGCAGAAGCAGGAGGAGAAGCAGGAGGAGGAGGAGCAGGAGCAGGAGCAGGAGGAGGAGCAGGAGGAGGAGCAAGAGGAGGAGCAGGAGGAGGAGGAGCAGCAGGUAGAGGAGCAGGUGGAGGAGCAGGAGCAGGAGCAGGAGCAGGAGGAGCAGGAGGAAAGCCAGCAUUGGAAACUACAGCACAACCCGCCACCCCUUCCCAUGGCCUUCUGUGAACCGCUCCAGACCAAGCACAGAGCCCGUGGCCGGUCCACGGAUGCUCUGCACCCUCCUGGCCUCUGUCAGCACCAUCUCGGUGCCGCCGCUCAUCCUUUCCUGCCACCCUGCCCUCGCCCUUCAUCCCUGCACAGAGCUCCUGCUUCCCAGCAUCCGUUUUCUCCUAAGCACCAUCCAGCUGGAUGCAAGCCCACUCCUGCAUGUGGCUCCUACACUAGACACCCGCAAUUCUGAAGCGUGGGCCUCGACAGGUGGGAUGCAAACCCAGCACGGAGCUAUGCAGUUUCUGUGGAGCACAGUUUUGCAUUUAGGAAUCUGAGUUUUCGGAAACUCAGUGCCAGGAGUGGAGGUGAGCCGAUCCCUCUGGUUGCCUCUUCUGGGUCUAGUUGUCCUGGGACAGUUUCUCAAAAGGGAAGAAAGUUACCAACCUGCCUGGUGGCUAUCAGUGGUGGGUGGGUUUGUUCCUCAGGGCAAACAUGGUACUGCCUGGAGACACCUGUGGUUGUCAUAGGAGGGCCGUGUGCAUGCUACCUGUGUCCAGGGGGGAGAGGCCAGGCCCUGCUGUACAUCCUACAACACAGCACACCCAGCAGCUUGGCCUGGCCAGCCCACACGCCACCUGCACCUGGGCUGACGAAUCCGAUCACCACGCAGCCCCACAUAUGCCUGCCCAGAGGUUUUACGGAGGAAGCUCUGCCUAACAAUUAAAUUAGGUUUCAUGAGAUUUUGUGCCCUGAGAGCAGCAGAGAUCAUCGGGGGGAGGAACAAAGCCAGAGCAAGACCAUGGUAGUUCAGAAGCACAUUUGGAAACAAGGCUUUGAGGCGAAGGUCCAGGACCUCUUUCCACAAACCCAGCUGCAAAACAUUAAAAUACAGAUUCCUAGGCCUCCCACAAGCUGGCUGAAGUGGGCACCGUGUGGGAGGGUAGCGGAGUCUGCAUUUUUAGGUAACUCCCAAGUGAUCUGGAUGUAGGUUAACAUUUUCUUCCACUUCCCAGAGGUAGGGUGGAG